CGAAGCGAUUGUUGAGGAAAAGACAUGCAUUUUGAACUCGAUUUUGACGACAUUUUUUCUUUUUUGACAAAGCGCGGACGUAUUUAAAAUAGUGUUUUCUCCUCGUUGAGAUAGGUUGAGAUAAAUUUGAACACGCCAAACUAUAGACAUUUAACUUGGCUUUAUGGCUCAAGUAAAAUUGAACGGGGCUUUUUUCAUAAAACGGAGAUAUCUUGCAGCCUUUAUAGUUUUCCGUAACACUGUCACUGUAUAUCAUGUCAACGACUGCAGUCGCACGAAAAAAGAUUCACGCUGAAUAUUUUUGGAGUGUCGGCGGCAGUUAUACCAAUAAUAGAAAUCAAAUCAAUUAGUAAAAAACAUUUUACAAUGAACUUUCAAUGGUUCCGAGCAUGCCGGCUGGUUAACACAAAAACGGUUAUAUAUUUAAGUUUUCAAAUUGUCGAGCAAAUUGUAGUUGUUUUUAUCAAAUUGUAGUUGUUUUAAAUGCAUGCAUGGUCAAUUUUGGGCUAUACGAUUAUCGAAAAAUAGUAGCCAAGCAAUGUCGGAAUAUUCUUACUGUGAAAAUGUUUAUCCUACCUUCGCAUUAUGAAGUAAAAUAUCCCAUUUCAUACCAAAAUUUUCGUAUUUGGAAUAUGCCCACAUUCGAUCAGCUCGAUUCCUUUUCAAAUUUUUAUUUCGC